rnacentral:rRNA from 1 species
GUAGGGAAUAUUGCGCAAUGGGCGAAAGCCUGACGCAGCAACGCCGCGUGGGUGAUGAAGCUUUUCGGAGUGUAAAACCCUGUCAGUGGGGAAGAACCGCAUCGGGAGUCACUGCCCGGUGCCUGACGGUACCCACAGAGGAAGUCCCGGCUAACUCCGUGCCAGCAGCCGCGGUAAUACGGGGGGGACAAGCGUUGUUCGGAUUUACUGGGCGUAAAGGGCGCGCAGGCGGGCCAUCAAGUCGGAUGUGAAACCGGUCGGCUUAACCGACCGCCUGCAUCCGAUACUGGUGGUCUUGAGUACGGGAGAGGAGAGUGGAAUUCCAGGUGUAGCGGUGAAAUGCGUAGAUAUCUGGAAGAACACCAGUUGCGAAGGCGGCUCUCUGGACCGAUACUGACGCUCAAGCGCGAAGGCUUGGGGAGCAAACAGGAUUAGAAACCCCUGUAGUCC